GGAUUAGAUACCCUGGUAGUCCACGCCGUAAACGAUGUGUGCUAGUUGUUGGAUCUUUAAGGUUCAGUGACGCAGGGAAACCAUUAAGCACACCGCCUGGGGAGUACGGCCGCAAGGUUAAAACUCAAAGGAAUUGACGGGGACCCGCACAAGCGGUGGAGCAUGUUGUUUAAUUCGAAGCAACGCGAAGAACCUUACCGCCCCUUGACAUCCUGGUCGGGACUUUCAGAGAUGAUUGUCUUCGGUUCGGCCGGACCAGUGACAGGUGCUGCAUGGCUGUCGUCAGCUCGUGCCG
rnacentral:rRNA from 1 species